rnacentral:rRNA from 1 species
GACGAACGCUGGCGGCGUGCUUAAUGCAUGCAAGUCGAACGAGAACUACUUCACUCGUAAGAGCGAGGUAGGGACAGUGGCGAACGGGUGCGUAACACGUGAGAAACCUGCCUUGGAGAUCGGGAUAGCCCGGGGAAACCCGGAUUAAUACCGAAUACCUUCACGACACCGCAUGGUGAUGUGAAGAAAUGGUCCGCCGCUCCAAGAUGGUCUCGCGGCCUAUCAGCUUGUUGGUGAGGUAACGGCUCACCAAGGCGAAGACGGGUAGCUGGUCUGAGAGGACGAUCAGCCACACUGGGACUGAGACACGGCCCAGACUCCUACGGGAGGCAGCAGCAGGGAAUAUUGCACAAUGGGCGAAAGCCUGAUGCAGCGACGCCGCGUGCGGGAUGAAGGCCUUCGGGUUGUAAACCGCUUUCAGCAGGGACGAAAAUGACGGUACCUGCAGAAGAAGCCCCGGCCAACUACGUG